GGGCGACGGUUGUCCCGGUUUAAGCGUGUAGGCUGGUUUUCCAGGCAAAUCCGGAAAAUCAAGGCUGAGGCGUGAUGACGAGGCACUACGGUGCUGAAGCAACAAAUGCCCUGCUUCCAGGAAAAGCCUCUAAGCAUCAGGUAACAUCAAAUCGUACCCCAAACCGACACAGGUGGUCAGGUAGAGAAUACCAAGGCGCUUGAGAGAACUCGGGUGAAGGAACUAGGCAAAAUGGUGCCGUAACUUCGGGAGAAGGCACGCUGACACGUAGGUGAAGUGAUUUACUCAUGGAGCUGAAGUCAGUCGAAGAUACCAGCUGGCUGCAACUGUUUAUUAAAAACACAGCACUGUGCAAACACGAAAGUGGACGUAUACGGUGUGACGCCUGCCCGGUGCCGGAAGGUUAAUUGAUGGGGUCAGCGCAAGCGAAGCUCCUGAUCGAAGCCCCGGUAAACGGCGGCCGUAACUAUAACGGUCCUAAGGUAGCGAAAUUCCUUGUCGGGUAAGUUCCGACCUGCACGAAUGGCGUAAUGAUGGCCAGGCUGUCUCCACCCGAGACUCAGUGAAAUUGAACUCGCUGUGAAGAUGCAGUGUACCCGCGGCAAGACGGAAAGACCCCGUGAACCUUUACUAUAGCUUGACACUGAACAUUGAGCCUUGAUGUGUAGGAUAGGUGGGAGGCUUUGAAGUGUGGACGCCAGUCUGCAUGGAGCCGACCUUGAAAUACCACCCUUUAAUGUUUGAUGUUCUAACGUGGACCCGUUACCCGGGUUGCGGACAGUGUCUGGUGGGUAGUUUGACUGGGGCGGUCUCCUCCUAAAGAGUAACGGAGGAGCACGAAGGUUGGCUAAUCCUGGUCGGACAUCAGGAGGUUAGUGCAAUGGCAUAAGCCAGCUUGACUGCGAGCGUGACGGCGCGAGCAGGUGCGAAAGCAGGUCAUAGUGAUCCGGUGGUUCUGAAUGGAAGGGCCAUCGCUCAACGGAUAAAAGGUACUCCGGGGAUAACAGGCUGAUACCGCCCAAGAGUUCAUAUCGACGGCGGUGUUUGGCACCUCGAUGUCGGCUCAUCACAUCCUGGGGCUGAAGUAGGUCCCAAGGGUAUGGCUGUUCGCCAUUUAAAGUGGUACGCGAGCUGGGUUUAGAACGUCGUGAGACAGUUCGGUCCCUAUCUGCCGUGGGCGCUGGAGAACUGAGGGGGGCUGCUCCUAGUACGAGAGGACCGGAGUGGACGCAUCACUGGUGUUCGGGUUGUCAUGCCAAUGGCACUGCCCGGUAGCUAAAUGCGGAAGAGAUAAGUGCUGAAAGCAUCUAAGCACGAAACUUGCCCCGAGAUGAGUUCUCCCUGAGACUUAGAGUCUCCUGAAGGAACGUUGAAGACGACGACGUUGAUAGGCCG
rnacentral:rRNA from 1 species